rnacentral:rRNA from 1 species
GCGCACCAGGCGCGAAUCUUCGGCAAUGGGGGAAACCCUGACCGAGCGACGCCGCGUGUGGGAUGAAGGCCCUUGGGUUGUAAACCACUGUCAGAGGGGAUGAAAUGCCGGAAAGUUAUCUCUCCGGUUUGACAUAGCCUCAGAGGAAGCACGGGCUAAGUUCGUGCCAGCAGCCGCGGUAAGAUGAACUGUGCAAACGUUAUUCGGAAUCACUGGGCUUGAAGAGUGCGUAGGCGGUUUCGUAAGUAGGGUGUGAAAGCCCCCGGCUCAACCGGGGAAUUGCGUCCUAAACUGCGAGGCUGGAGUGAGGUAGGGUGUGUGGAACUUCCAGUGGAGCGGUGAAAUGUGUUGAUAUUGGAAGGAACGCCGGUGGCGAAAGCGACACACUGGACCUUGUCUGACGCUGAGGCACGAAAGCCA